rnacentral:rRNA from 1 species
GGGGAACGAUAACGGCGUCGAGCGGCGGACGGGUGAGUAAUGCCUAGGAAAUUGCCCUGAUGUGGGGGAUAACCAUUGGAAACGAUGGCUAAUACCGCAUGAUGCCUACGGGCCAAAGAGGGGGACCUUCGGGCCUCUCGCGUCAGGAUAUGCCUAGGUGGGAUUAGCUAGUUGGUGAGGUAAGGGCUCACCAAGGCGACGAUCCCUAGCUGGUCUGAGAGGAUGAUCAGCCACACUGGAACUGAGACACGGUCCAGACUCCUACGGGAGGCAGCAGUGGGGAAUAUUGCACAAUGGGCGCAAGCCUGAUGCAGCCAUGCCGCGUGUGUGAAGAAGGCCUUCGGGUUGUAAAGCACUUUCAGUCGUGAGGAAGGUGGUGUAGUUAAUAGCUGCAUUAUUUGACGUUAGCGACAGAAGAAGCACCGGCUAACUCCGUGCCAGCAGCCGCGGUAAUACGGAGGGUGCGAGCGUUAAUCGGAAUUACUGGGCGUAAAGCGCAUGCAGGUGGUUUGUUAAGUCAGAUGUGAAAGCCCGGGGCUCAACCUCGGAAU